UACGUAGGGGGCAAGCGUUAUCCGGAUUUACUGGGUGUAAAGGGAGCGUAGACGGCCAGACAAGUCUGAAGUGAAAAUCCAGCGCUUAACGUUGGAAGUGCUUUGGAAACUGCCGGGCUGGAGUGCAGGAGGGGCAGGCGGAAUUCCUAGUGUAGCGGUGAAAUGCGUAGAUAUUAGGAGGAACACCAGUGGCGAAGGCGGCCUGCUGGACUGCAACUGACGUUGAGGCUCGAAGGCGUGGGGAGCAAACAGG
rnacentral:rRNA from 1 species